GUCCUUUUGAAUAUAAUUUAAGGUCUAGCCUGCCCACUGAUUAAUUGAAUGGCCGCGGUAUUUUGACCGUGCAAAGGUAGCAUAAUCAUUAGUUUUUUAAUUGAAAACUGGAAUGAAUGGUUGGAUAAGAAAAUGACUGUCUCAAAUUAAUUUAUUUAGAAUUUUAUUUUUAAGUUAAAAAGCUUAAAUUUAAUUUAAAGACGAGAAGACCCUAUAGAGUUUAAUAUUUCAAUAAUUAAUAUUUUAAGAUUUUAUAUUAUUAAUUUAUUAGAAGUUUUUAAUUGGGGUGAUUAGAAAAUUUAAUAAACUUUUCUUUAUUUAUACAUUGAUUUAUGAAUAUAUGAUCCUUUAUUUAUGAUUAAAAGAUAAAAUUACCUUAGGGAUAACAGCGUAAUUUUUUUAGAGAGUUCUUAUCGAAAAAAAAGAUUGCGACCUCGAUGUUGGAUUAAAAUUAAUAUUUGGCGAAGAAGUUAAAUUAUUAGGUCUGUUCGACCUUUAAAAUUUUACA
rnacentral:rRNA from 1 species